AGGCCUGUAGCUCUAACGGCUGAGAGCGGCGGACUCCAAAUCCGAAGGUUGGAGGUUCAAAUCCUCCCAGGCCUG
rnacentral:tRNA from 1 species